CACCACCACAGUGCUCUUCAGCAGAGAGCAUGGGAGCUGGGCUCCUACAGCAUUGCUCAGACUCUUUAAUCACUUGAUACUGGCAGCCCUUGCAGUUUCCCUCCUUCCCUUACAGUUGUUCUGCCUUCCAUUAUGAUUUUCUCUUUUAGUGUAAACAUUUGACUUGAUUCAGGUUGGGUUCUAGAAGGAUGCUGUUAUGCACACUGGUCUGUGGUUGCCAGCCUGAGCAGUGCAUGGUUCUGGGAAUGUGGUAUCUGGUUCAGGUUAUCAGAUGGAUUCCAUGGCUGCUGUUUGGCUCUGAGGAGAAGACCUUUCAAGAUCAUCUGUAGAAAACACCUUUACAGCUGAAAUUCCCCACAAAUAUGUAAGAUGAUUAAAAUCC